rnacentral:rRNA from 3 species
ACUUAAAUUGAAGAGUUUGAUCAUGGCUCAGAUUGAACGCUGGCGGCAGGCCUAACACAUGCAAGUCGAGCGGUAGCACAGAGAGCUUGCUCUCGGGUGACGAGCGGCGGACGGGUGAGUAAUGUCUGGGAAACUGCCUGAUGGAGGGGGAUAACUACUGGAAACGGUAGCUAAUACCGCAUAAUGUCGCAAGACCAAAGUGGGGGACCUUCGGGCCUCAUGCCAUCAGAUGUGCCCAGAUGGGAUUAGCUAGUAGGUGGGGUAACGGCUCACCUAGGCGACGAUCCCUAGCUGGUCUGAGAGGAUGACCAGCCACACUGGAACUGAGACACGGUCCAGACUCCUACGGGAGGCAGCAGUGGGGAAUAUUGCACAAUGGGCGCAAGCCUGAUGCAGCCAUGCCGCGUGUGUGAAGAAGGCCUUCGGGUUGUAAAGCACUUUCAGCGGGGAGGAAGGCG